rnacentral:misc_RNA from 1 species
AUAUAUAUAUCAUGCUUUGAUUUUGAAAAGGCUGAUUAGCAUUUUUAUCAAGGGAGGAAGGAGGAUUUUUGCGCAUUAUAUAUUUGGUGAAAAUAAUCUCAUGACAGGCCCAUUGAGCCUUAAUAUCGGCCCAAGCUCAAAAUAUAUAUAAAUAUAUUAAUAUUUUAUCAAUUGAGAGGCUCGGGCGUACAUGAACUUAUAUUCCGAGUCGAG